AUUGAACGCUGGCGGCAGGCCUAACACAUGCAAGUCGAGCGGGGUUUUCGGACCUAGCGGCGGACGGGUGAGUAAUGCGUAGGAAGCUACCGGAUAGAGGGGGAUACCAUUUGGAAACGACUGUUAAUACCGCCUAAUGUCGACGGACCAAAGUGUCGGACCUUCGGGCCAGAUGCUAUUGGAGGUUCGUACGUUGGAUUAGCUAGUUGGUGAGGUAAUGGCUCACCAAGGCGACGUUCCCUAGCUGGUUUGAGAGGAUAAUCAGCCACACUGGAACGGAGACACGGUCCAGACUCCUACGGGAGGCAGCAGUGGGGAAUAUUGGACAAUGGGCGCAAGCCUGAUCCAGCCAUGCCGCGUGUGUGAAGAAGGCCUUCGGGUUGUAAAGCACUUUCAGCGAGGAGGAAGGGGUGAGUGUUAAUAGUACUCAUCUUUGACGUUACUCGCAGAAGAAGCACCGGCUAACUCUGUGCCAGCAGCCGCGGUAAUAC
rnacentral:rRNA from 1 species